rnacentral:lncRNA from 1 species
CCCCCCCUUCUUCUUCCUCUGCUCCUUCUUCUGCAGUGCAGAGAGAAGCCGUACAUGCUUCUUGCAGAAGCCUGAAGGUCGCUGCUUCGAUCGCCCUCUUCAGCUUCCAUUUGCGGUUCGGUUUCUGCGAAAAGGGUGUUCGACGUUGACCCGGGUCCGCUCGAAUUUCAGAAGGUGAGGCGAGAGGAGAUUCUGCAGAGGCUCUGCGUGGCAAGAGAGUUCGAGCUCGCUCGCUGAGUCCGCGCGGGAACCGGUGAGUCCGCUCACUUGUCGCCUCCCCCAGUUCUUCAUUUCCUCUUUUCUUUCGUGGGAACCGUACUAUGAAGUUGUUUUUGACAUGGUACAUGGUCUUAGUAUCUCUAUGGCCCACCGUUUGAUUGAUAACGUGGCUAAUCAAGCAUUUUUCCGAUUUGAGUUGUCAUGAAAGUCAGGAAAAGAUAAACAAAUUUGGGUUCCCAUGUGGUGUCGUGUCAUUAGCUCGAUGGAAGAAAAUAGUUUCUGCACAUCAUCAUGCCAGUGGAGAGAAAAACUCAAGAGAUGUUUGCUAUCUGUUUUGUGAUGGAUCUGAUGAAUUUGGAACCGCACAAGCCAUUGAAAAAAUCUUUCUUUGAGCUUUAUGUGGAGAUUGUGCCCAAAUUCUCCCGAUUAUUUAAGUUCUGUUCACCGAGAAUUUUUCGAGUUGUGCGUGUCGGGCUCGGCAAAGCCCCUGCUCUGUUCUUGCUUGGGACAUUGUUUGGCCAACGCAGAGAGUCAUGUCUAUGGUCAUCUUUGGCCAAAAAUGAUAGGGAGUUAUACGAGACAUUAAAACGAUGACAACUGCCCUUGUUUGUCCUCGUAAAUCAGCAAUUGCGGCUUCCACGGUCCGUGAGCUGAUGGGGAUAUCGACACGAGAUUCUACCUACCGUGGGUGGUUUUUCUCGUUGUCUGGAAGAAUAUUCUAGCAAAAGCAAAUAGUAUAGCAGUUUGAGUGUGCACUGACCAUCUAAGCUUGUACUGCACCCAUUUCGGCGCUGAACCUAAUUUUGGAGAUGAAAUUCUGGACUUGAUAGAAAAACUUAGCGUUCCCUAACCGACCAGUGAUGGCAUGAUUGAUUGUCAUCCGUUAGCUUCUUGAUGUUAAGUCUUGUUGAACUGUUCUUCUCAUCCAUCCAUUCAUUAUUUGUGCAGAUAAAUUGUCCUCUCCUCAUCUCACAAUCCAAGAGAUGUCACCUUCUCUUAGAAAGAGCAUACCUCUGCCUCCUACCUUCCGAAUCGACGAUGAGGUCAGAGCUGCCGAGAAGCAGGGCAUUGUCUCUAUUCUUGGGUCAGACUGCGAGAGAGCCAUGAAUGCUUCGCUUCGUAGGACACUCUCUGCUGAUAUGUCGUCCAAGAAGUGGCUCACCCAAAAUGGUUUCUCUCCGAUAAAGAAGAUUGCGUCAGCUGAAGAGCUUCAGGCCUCCAUCGUUGCUGCGUCUUCUUUCUCGGAAGAAGAUGACGAGGAUGCACAGAAGGAUGACGAAGGGAGAGGCCAGCUUGACAUUUGGAACUCCAUCCAGGAAGCAAAGAAACAGGAAAACGAGAAGUGCACUUGGAGCUUAAUUCUCUCUCAUAAGUCUGCGGAUUCGAAGUCCCUUCCCCCGCCUUACGUUCACCCUCUGGUGAAGAGAUCUGCGAGCUCUUUGAGUGAGAAGAGCCUCCAGACUUGCACUGAGAGCCUUGGAUCCGAGACUGGCUCCGAUGCGUUCUCCUCGUACCCGCCAUCAGAAGUCGGGGACGUGGAAGAUGGAAAGGAAGAAGAGCCGGAGCCACUUCAACAAGAGGGGAUGCCGCUGCAGAGUGUUGACCGGGAAGACUUCGAUGUUGUCAAGUACAAUUAUGCUGCUAGUAGGAAGAUCCAACCUCGAUCUUUCCCUCCCCCUCUACCUUCCCUGUCUCGAGAAGACGGGGCGUCCCUCUCUGUGCAGUCUCGCCGUGACAACGGACGGCUGGUGCUCGAAGCUGUCUCCAUUUUGUCCGAGAAAAAUUUUCAAGCCCAACGCGAAGAUGGCCGUCUCAUUCUUACUUUUGUGGACAGCGUUUCGUCUGGCGAGGAAAUCUAUGAUGGGGAGGAAGUAGAUGACGAAGAGACUGAGAACAUGUCGAUGGAGUUGGAUGAAGAUGUCGAGAGUUCCGAUCGAAACAGCGACGAGGAAGAGGAAGAAAGCGAAGAGGAGGACGGAGAACAGGAGAAGCAAGAGGAGGCAGAGGAACUCGAGUAUGCAAGACUCGUUAACGGUCGUGGUGCAAGGGAGCUGGAGUUUGCCAUGGAACGGACGCCCAAUAUGUCAAGUGGAGUGAUAAAUGUCCAUAAGCUAGCCCUCCUGAUGAACAAGCCCAUCGGUCCACUUAACGGGAACUCGACUUGGCAGAGCAAGUCCAAUAAAGUGGCUAACUGCGAGGAGGAGGAAGAGGAGGCACUCGCACUCGAGGAAUCACUCCCCUUGCGAGCUCCAAUGGCCAGGAUGCUAUCAUCGCAAUCGCUGUCGCCCCAAUCGGCGCCAGCAUCGGCUUCCUUCAAUGCCUACGAGUACUUCUGGCGAUCCAAGUCCACGUCCACCGCCGUCAUCAGCCCGAUCACCCUGCAGUUUCCAUCACAGAAGAACUGCAGUAACAACAACUACAUCAUGUCGAAGAACUCGAUGCUGAACGAGCCACAGGGAGCGAUGUUUGUGAAACAGAGCGAGGCUUAUUACUUGGCCCCUUUGUUGAACAGCUGCAAUAACCCUAGGAGCACUCUAUUUCUGUGGGAGCCCAAGUGCAUUGCCACAUCCUGAUAAAUCCCACCAGACCUGGGGGUGUGUGCGCGUGUCUGAGUCACUCCACCAGUUAUAGUAGCCUCUUACAAGGUUUGCUUAGGCAAUAAAAAGAUGAAAAGAGGCAGUCAAGUACUUAAAUUUAGGAUGCUAAUUAAAAAAAGCUCUUAACCCGGUUUGUUUGAGAGAGGGGGGUGGGGGGGGUGGGGAGGGGUAUAUAAUUUUUAUUUGCUCGUUGACAAGUUUAACAAAUAAAAGUGCUAGUGAUGGUGGAUGCUGUCCGCUAGUAUCAUGUACCAUUUCCGGCUCAAGUACUGAAUAUAUGAUCAAUUUUCUAGAGCCAUUCUUGGGUUUUGCUCAUCUUACAGGAGCCAAAUGUUUCGGAUACAAUGGAUCGCUUCUUAACCAACUGAAGUAUUCGACCCUCUUCCAUCGAAGAAAUUGACUUUAGGAAUUUCCCGAGUCCUAUUGCUAAUGUCGAGUGAACUUUCACGACAUCGGCACCUACUUUUAACAGGAAAGAAACCCAGAAGAAAAAGAUCUUAGCCUGGCAAUGCACGAACAGGUUAAAGUGAAUAAGCGAGUUUUUGUCCACAAUCUCCCACAAGCAAUUCAUGGGGUAGACCGUAAUACCUUACUCUCUCUCUUAUUAGUUUGAUCUAAGCAAAUUGAAAGAGUGAUAUCAGGUGACCAAAAAUGCAAAAGAAAGAAAACCCAAAGAGAUCCUAAUAGAAUCAGUUCAGCUGGAAAGGGCAGGAAUGACAGAAAUUUGAAGUGCUCUAAGAAACUGGCUUCAGAAUGUACAUCUUGCAAGAGUGACCGUCAACUGUUGCCGUGAUGUUCCGAACAAAUGUCUUCUCCAAAGUCUUGUGCUGCAAUAGGAGAAAGACGCCACAAUAUUAAGGAGAGAAUUCGGAGGUAUGCGCUUGAUAAGGCCAAUGCCAUACCAAGUAUGCAAAUGCAAGACAGCAAGCAGGAAAUUUCAUUGGAAAAAUAAAAGAGAGAGAAAGAACAAUAUUAGCAACAUAAAACAGCAUAGAUCUUUUAAAGUGAUACCUCCCAGAUAUCUCUGGCUUCGACAACAGUGUCUGGCGGAAGUCCAAUGUCGCUCCAGUGGCCUAUCACUGUAUAACGAUAUGCGCCUCGGUUUACCAGAAGCACAGCGAGCCGAUAACCAGUGAGAGGCCCGGCCCAGACCUUGAGGAAAGAAAUUGGGGGCAUCUUUUCAGUAGAUGCUGAGCUCCAUACCAGCAAAAAUUGCAUAUACUACAAACUCCAGAAAAGCAUGUCUAUGUACUGCAAAUUAUACCUCUUGGUCACCUUCACUCCGAACCUUCUUGGCUUGAAUUCCGAGCGGAUCUACCAGAGAUGACCAAUUUAAAUUCAAUAAUAGGAAUUCAUUAGUUUUAGACUAUUUCAUCAACUGAGCGCAGGGAAAUGUUUUGACCUUGGUUCACUGCAAUGACCUCCUUGUUGGAAAUUAUUUCCAUAGUAUCGUUGUCCAAAUUCCGGAUAUCGCAACCAAGAAGAAGAGGGGCCUACAUUGCAUUCUAACUAAUCAAAAGAUGACCCAGUGCUAUAUAUAUACCACGCAUUCAUAACUAUGACAGAGUCCACGAUACCUUGGAUAUAGCCCAUAUACUGAAGUGAACUAUGUACUCGUUCUUUGCCAUUCCUCCAUUCCCAAUUUCAAGCAUGUCAGGAUCUGCACAGUGACAAAUUUAUAAGAGAUCAAAGAGUGGGAAUUGAACUCGAAACAUCGAUUAGCCUAUAGUAGUUCUUGUCGAUUAUGCUUUUUAAGGUACUACCAUUCCAGCCGCCAGGCCUGGCAAGCUCCGCAUACGGUUCAUUCAAGUCAGCUCUAGUCAUCAUACUGCAAGGAUAGUAAAAGAUUAAACAUCCUCUAUUGAUAAGAUUGAAUUCCAAGACAAUUUAUUUAAUCCUGAAUGUACAAGUUGGAAAUGUUAGCUGAGACCUUAAUAUCCGUUAAUAUCCAUGGGUAAGCUUCUAGACAGUCAUAUACGAAAAAACAGCAAAAUAACACGAGCAAGUUGCAAGCACCGGAGACUACCUGUCCCAUGUAUCAGAAAUAUCCAUUGUCGUCCUCCAGCUGUUCCCUAUCCUGGCGCCCCAUAAAGCCGGGUGCAAAUCCCCCCUAAUAGCCAAAAGAUUAGGAUAAUGUAGAGUUCACAUGACAAAGUAAAACAUGUGAACGAGAAAAAAAUGAUACAGCUCACUUCCAUGUAGUUUACCAUUCGCAAAGUGAGAAGAAAAUAGGGCGGCCAGCCUUCAUCAGAGAUCGGGUCAUUAUAGGGUAUCUACAUGAUCAAACCAUUGAAUCAGUACUUAAAUGUAACUUCUUUGAGAAUAUUAAGAAACACUACUACUCUCAGUCUUUCUGUUACCUGAUGGUUGGCUUCGUGCCACCAUUGUUGCAGUUAUCAUACUUCAAAUAAUCAAUUCCCUGGAGAAAUAAUGCAAUUCUUCAUUAUGUUUUGUGAUCGAAAGGACAACCAUUGUCGAAAAGUACAUCUAUAACCUCUUAUUUGAAGUCAACAUAAGAAAAAUGCUCAGGUAGUCAGAAAGACAAACCCAAGCUGCAAAGGUUUUGGCAUCUUGUUCCUCGCGACCAAGUGAUCCAGGCAUGGUCUUGCUACAGGUAAAAUAGCUGAAUCCAGGAAAAAAAUCCGUCAACUUAUGUAUCAAUCGAAAAACCAAUUGACGUUUAAACACGUCAGUAAUUCUCGUAGCAAUUAUGGCAGGGUGUCAUACCCAGCAUCCGAAUAUAUUCCUAGCUUCAAACCCUUGCUGUGAACAUAAUCGGCAAGAGCUUUGAUGCCAGAUGGAAACGUCGUAUUCUUGGCUACUAAAUUGCCCUGCCAUUAUCAUGUCAUGUAGUCGAGCAUAAUUAGAAUGUGAGUUCUGAAAUGGAUUUCAUAGUUCAGAGCCCCAAAAGGAUAGAAAGAUUUACAUUGUAAUCACGUGCUAUCUCAGCCCAGCAAUCAUCUGAAAAGAAAAAAUCAAUCAGGGCAUAGAACAAUCGACAAAGAACAAGCCAUUACAAAAAUAGAGGAAGCGAGAACUUGGUGCUGCAUACCUAUGUUGACGUACUCGUAGCCCAGCUUUGAAAGACCAGUAGAAACCAGAGCAUCAGCUGUAAAAACAAACCCGAGUAUGUCAAAAUGCUCAAGCUCAAGAAGCAAAGUUCGUCCUUCAUAGCGUUUUAACCUCACGAUACAUUAUUAUAGUUUUCAAAAUCUGAACUGUGGACUAUUUAUUCAUGCCCAAGCAGCUUUAGGCUGGAAAAACUAAAAGAAAAGAACGAUGGUUUAUGCUAGUGAGACCUAAUCGAUAUCAACUUGAAGAAGAAGACCAGUUUCCAACUGUAUCAAGAAAGGAAAGUAAUUUACUCAGUUUGAUCAAGAACCCAUAAGAAAAGAGUUGAACAUUGUUUAGCAGAAACUAAUGCUAGCACGAACCGGUCUCUCUGAGGAUCGUUUCAUUAACCGUACACCAGAAGUGAUUCCAACUAUUCCACCUGCGAACAUGGGAAGGACAUCAUCAUAAGAUUGCGUUAUCAUAUGAGAUGAGGAAACAGGAAUUAUUACACGAGAAAUAAUUUAAAAGGAACACAUAAUUGGAAAGGACAAAAAGGAUAAAUAUGCUCCGUCAUUCGAUCUGCCGCAUGUCGUUCGAGUCCAAUCUGCCACACCCGACAUCUUGCAAUGGAUUUAUCUAAGUUAAUCUUAUCAACAUAGCUUUUUCCUUGGUAUAUUUGAUUGAUUUGAGACUUACUCUUGUGAAACAAUGAAAUAUUUAGACUUUUCACACUAGCUAAAACAAAACCCAAAAAAAAGAGAAUUUUUUUUUCUAACCCAAAUACAUUUUGUAUGCAUAAGACUAUCAUAUAGAAUAUGAUAUAGUAAAAAAUAUACCCUGAGUUAAGGAUAUUGUAUAAAAAGUAUCUAUGUAACCACAAUUAUAUGACCAAUCAUAGAUUACAUUUUUUAUAUUGUCCCCUAAAACUCUGUUAGGAUCUCUUUCGGAAAAUGAAUUUAGUAAGUUCAAAUUUUGCAAAAAUGAAUAAAUAAGCUUAUAUGAAAAAGACAGCCAUACAUAUUCCGAAGAAUGCUAUACUGACAGAAAAACUUGCAUUCGUCACAAAUUCAUAGCAAUGUUCCAAAAAGAACAAGACUUUACACACACACACACACAAAAACGACUUUUAAGCAAAAAUACUCACCAACUUCUUCAACAAAGUUUUAAAAAAUAUAUAUUCGAAAAUAUAAGCACAUAAAUUAUACGUAAAAAUAUCUAAUGAUUUGUGCGUGAGCUGUGUUACGACUGAGAAGUUCCGUUGCCGGGUGGAUCAUACAAAUGUCUAUUAGCCAAGGUUGGUGAGCAGGGGAUGCCCUGUUUCUGGUGAUGAACAGAUGAUCUUUGCCAUUAUCGAUCGACAAGCAGACAAUUUGAUGACAUCUCGAGCAUCAGAGAGAGUUAGCCGAGCGGUCGGUCAUCCCAGAAUCGAUCCUCAAAUAAUUGAAUUGACACCCACUAAAGGACACGCAACCGACAUCGUAAAGCAGACCGAAAUCGCACCACCGUUUACGAAAUAUAUCUCAUAAACCGCGAAAACAAUCCGAACGGUAUCAGCAUUCCGCACAAGACUACGUCGCAAGGCAGGACGGGGAAUCGAUCAUCAUCAUCCUCAUGAGCGAGAGAGAGAGAGAGAGAGAGAGAGAGAGAGAGAGAGAGAGAGAGAGAGUAGUAGUAGUACCCCAUGGGAGGAGUGAGGCCGAGGCCAUUGGCGAGCAGGUUCCUGCGGUACUCCUGCCGGUAGUGCAAGUACUUGGACGACUUCAAAUCCACCCUCGCCUUCGACGCUCCCACCGGAGCUCCGUCGGUCGCCAACGGCCACCACACGCACGCGAUCACCACCGCCAGAAGCAGGGGAUCACUCCACUUUCCCCUCACCAUCACCGCCACCACUACCACGACUACCACCAGUAUCCCCUCUCUCUCUCUCUCUCUCUCUCUCUACCUGCAGAGUGUUUAUAGGCUGAGGAGCCAGCGAGCGUUGAGAUGGGAUAAGGAGUAGGGCGUUGAGUAUUUAUAGGCUGUUUCUCUGGCAGUGGGCAGAGCAGAGCAGAGCAGAGCAGAGCAGAGAUCAGUAACAUGAUUUGCGGAAACGACACUUACCCUCUCUCUCUCUCUCUCUCUCCAUCCAUUAACGACGAGGAUUAUCUGCAGCAUGAUUGAUUGUGCAGUUAAUCCGAAACGGAUAAGCCCACAAAAUGUGCUUCCCCGAGGUGCAACGUUGCUACAUCCAUGGCAUCUAACAAACUCCCCUGAAUCACUCGAAUCCUGUUUUUACUUUUUUUUGGUCAUACACUCGAAUCCUCUUAAUAACUGGGAUAAUAGCUAGUAAUCACCGAACUUUGAUCCAUCGAGCAAUGUGGUCCUUAAACUUUAGCCCGACGCGUAGUGUCGUAUCUAAACUUUUAAUUUAUUUAUUUGAUGUGAAACAUGUUCAAGAUAGUUGCAGCAAAUAUUUCUAUAUAGUCGAAAGACUAACUUGGAUAUGUAUUAAAAGUUUAGCGACCAUCUUAAAUAAAUUGAAACUACAUAGAUGACAUUGCAUGUUGAGUUAAAUUUAAGAGAUCAUAUUGAAUGAAUGAAAAGUUCUAGGUCUACAUUGGGCAUUGGAUCAAAGUUCAGUGACUAUAUUGAACUAGACUAAAAUUCGAAGACCAUUUGUGUCAUUUUUCCUUAAUAAUUGCUUCUUUGAUAUAAUCUCAAGUAAAUAAAAAGAUUGAGAAGUGAUUUAAUAAGGAAGGCUGCUUGACAAAAGGAGUAUGUUCGACCUAAUUCUUUAUUUCGUUCGCUUUGGUAGGACGACUGAGAUUGAUACGGCUCGUGCGCAUCGCAAGAACAAACUUAUUUUCCUGGCAAUGUUACUUUGAAUAUAUAUUCUCGUGAAAUGAUCAUGUCCAACCUAUAUAGAAGCAGACUAAUGUAGAAGAUAAGAGUCUUAGUUUUCUAGUGAAAACAUUGAAAAAACCAGUUAGAAAUUUGAAAAUUGAAUUCGAUUAUUUCCACGUAAUAGAAGAAGAGAGGACGAGCGAAGAUGGAAGUGGAUAAGAGAUUAAUGAUCAACGAUAUAGUGUAAUUCGCACCAUUUCUUUUUCAUAUUCCAGAAUUAAAGUUUAAUCAUCGAUGAACAGCGAUAUUAAUUGAUCCCCUUUGUACCCAGCAUUUAAAAAUCAUUAAGUUCUUUUUUUUAAGAUGGUCUUUAGAAGAGAUGUACCAGAAAACUCUUUCUAUUCUUUAUUUUAUUUAUUUUUUUCUAUUUCCUCCUUGUACAUUUGGAUGCAUGUGUCACGGCCCGAAAGUUAGCAUGUCCAAUCGAGAGUUGAUCGAUCGGCCCGUGACACAUGAGUGAGUGAUGAUAAUAUGAAGGGGAAGGUCAAGGUACUCUCUCUAGUACUCCCGACACAAAAGGCCUUCUCCUUCAAAGCUAUUCCCAACACAAAAGGCCUUCUACUUCAAAGCUAUAGUGAUCAUGAAAGGAAAUUAUCCGAUCAAUUAUAAAAUUACUAAAUGAAUGCAAAUUUAUUUUGAGUGAUUUUCAACAAAAAUUGACUAGUGUCUAUAAGGACCACAUUAGAAUUUCACACAAAGAUUAAGGAUUAAAGUGGCUAAAUCAGAAAGUUUAGAACUUAAUUAGAAAGUUUAUAACUAAAUUUUUUUAUUAAUUUUCCUGUAGCCAUUGGGUAGGCAGAGACCAAAAAAUAAAAGGGAGAAGCACACAACCUUAAUCUCCAUUUGCCGAAAUGGGAAAACUACUAAAAAAUGCUAAAUCUGAUGAACCCAUAUCAAUCCACGCCCCUCGCUUAAAUUUAGGAAAGGCAAUCGCAAGAUUCGCAACCACAGACCAAGGUGGCCUUGCCUGUUGCUGGCGAGGCUAGCCUCGCUCAGAUUUAAGCAAAGCGGCCUCACCCUAGAGCACGUCACUCAUACGGAAAGAAAAGAGGAAAAAAAAAUAUAUAUAUGAAGAUUAAAAUAAGUUGAAAAAAAAAAAGUUAAGACGGACUUUGCAACUUAGGUCCACGUCAUUGUCAGACGGUUUAAAGACUUUUUUUUUUUUUUGGGUAAUUAUCUAUUGCCCAAAUUAAUCAAUGGAUCCCACAUCGAGAAACUUGAAUAUCCUCUUUAUUUCCAAAUAAGCAAACAUGUACACUCUCUCUUAUUGGUUUGAUCUUAGCAAAUUGAAAGAGCGACAUCAGAUGACUAAAAAUGGCAAAAGAAAGAAAAUCCUAAGAGAUUUCAAAAGAAUCAGCUCUGCUGGAAAGGGCAUGACCGCCGGAAAUUUGAAGCGCUCUAACCGACCGGCUUCAGAAUGUACAGCUUGCAAGAGUGACCGUCAAUCGUUGCCGAGAUGUUCCCAACAAAUGUGUUCUUCAACGUCUUGUGCUGCGCAUUAGGAAUAAGACAGCCAACGUCAUGUCCAAGCAUGCAAGAAAUGCAGGGCCGCAAGCAGCAGGCAAUUUCAUUACUAUAUCAGCAAACAUAGAACAGCAUAGAUCUUCUAGAAAUAAUACCUCCCAGAGAUCUCUGGCUUCGGCAACAGUCUCUAGCGGAAGUCCGAUGUCGUCCCAGCGGGCUGUCAAUGCGUAACGAUAAGUGCCUCGGUUUACCAGAAGCACGGCGACCCGAUAACCGGCGAUAGGGCCAGCCCAGACCUUGAGGAAAGAGAUUGGCAGUCAUUUUCUCAGUAUAUGCUGAGCUCUACACCGGCCAAAUAGCAUAUACACUACAGACUGCAGGAAAAAAAAAAAAAAAGUCUAUGUACUGCAGUUUAUACCUCUUGGUCACCUUCGCUCCGAACCUUCUUGGCUUGAAUUCCGAGUGGAUCUGCCAGAGAUGACCAAAUCGAAUUCAAUAAUAGGAUCAAUAGCUUUAGACUAUUUCAUCAAAUGAGGGCAGGGAAAUGUUUUGACCUUGGUUCACUGCAAUGACCUCCUUGUUGGAAAUUAUUUCCCAAGUAUCCUUGCUUAAAUUCCGGAUAUCGCAGCCAAGAAGAAGAGGGGCCUACAUUACAUCUUAACUCAUCAAAAGAUGACCCAGUGUUAUAUAUACCAGUCAUGCAGUAACUACAACCAUCCACGAUACCUUAGAUAUAGCCCAUAUACUGAAGUGAACCAUGUACUCGUUCUUCGUCAUUCCUCCAUUCCCAACUUCAAGCAUGUCAGGAUCUGCAGAUUGACAAAUUUAUAAGAGAUCCAAGAUUGGGAAUUGAACACGAAACAUUCAAUAUUAACCUAUAGGCGUUCUUUUUUUUGUUUUUUUUAAUUGAUUUUCAGGGUAUUACCGUUCCAGCCACCAGGCCUGGCAAGCUCUGCGUAGGGUUCAUUCAAGUCAGCUCUACUCAUCAUACUGCAAGGACAGUAAAAGAUUGAUCAUCCUCGGUAAAUGGGAUUGAAUUCCAAGACAACUUAGUAAAUCCCGAAGUACACGUUGGAGGACAGAAGCCAAACAGAGGAUGUUACGCUAAGACUUUGAUAUCCACGGGCAAACUUCCUUACAGUCAUACCAAAAAACAAAAACACGAACAAGUUGAAAGCACAAAAGACUACCUGUCCCACGUGUCAGAAAUAUCAUUCGUUGUUCUCCAGCUGUUCCCUAUCUUGGCGCCCCAUAGAGCUGGGUGCAAAUCCCCCCUAAAAGCCAAAAGGUCAAGAUAAUGUAGAGUUCACACGAUGAAGUAAAACAUGUGAACGAGAAAAAAAUGAUACAGCUCACUUCCAAGUAGUUUACCAUUCGCAAAGUGAGAAGAAAAUCGGGCGCCCAGCCUUCAUCAGAGCUCGGGUCAUUACAGGGUAUCUACAUAAUGAAACAAUUGAAUCAGUACCCGAAUCUAACUUUCCUUGAGAAUACUAAGAGCAAUGCUACUCUUAGUCUAUCUGUUACCUGACGGUUGGCUUCGUGCCACCAUUGUUGCAGUUAUCAUACUUCAGAUAAUCAAUUCCCUGCAGAAAUAAUGCAGUCAUUCAUUAUGCUUUGUGAUCGAAAGGACAACUAUUGUUGAAAAUUGCAUCUACAACAUCUAAUUUGAAGCAAACAUAAAAAAAUGCUUAGGUAGGCAAGAAGACAAACCCAAGCUGCAAAGGUUUUGGCAUCUUGUUCCUCGUGACCAAGUGAUCCAGGCAUGGUCUUGCUACAAGUAAAAUAGCUGAACCCAGGAAAAAAAUCUGUCAACUAAAUUAUAAAUGGAAAAAUCGAUUGAUAUUUCAAUAUAUCGGUAAUUCUCGUAGCAAUAAUGGCCAGAUGUUGUACCCGGAGUCCGAAUAAAUUCCUAUCUUCAAACCUUUGCUGUGAACAUAGUCGGCAAGAGCUUUGAUGCCAGACGGAAAUGCCGUAUUCUUGGCUACGAAAUUGCCCUGCCAUCAUUACAACAUGUAGUCGAGCAUAAUCAGAAUGCAAGUUCUGAAUCGUUUCGGUUACAGUGUUCAAAGCCCCAAAAGGAUAAAAAGACUUACGUGGUGAUCGCGUGCUAUCUCAGCCCAGCAAUCAUCUGUAUAGAAAAAUCAAUCAGGGCAUAGAACAACCGACAACGAACGGUGCCAUUAGGAAAAUAUACAGAGGAAGUAAGUACUUGGAGCGUACAUACCUAUGUUGACAUACUCAUAACCCAGCUUCGAAAGACCGGUAGAAACCAGAGCAUCAGCUAGAAAAAUAAACCCGGAUAUGUCAAAAUUAUUAAGCUCAAGAAGCAAUGUCCAUCCUUAAUAGCGUUUUAACCUCAUAAUACAUCAAUUUAUUCAUGCCCGAGCAAUUUUAGGCUGGAAAAACUAAAAGAGAAAAGCAAUGGUUUAUACUAAGAUGACCAGUUUUCAACUGUAUCAAGAAAUAUAAUUUGAACUCAAGAAGCAACGAAAGUAAUUUACUCAGUUUGAUCAUGAACCCAUAAGAGAAGAGAUGAAAAAUGUUUAGCAGAAACUAAUGUUCAGCACGAACCAGUCUCUCUAAUGACCGUUUCAUUAAUAACGCACGCGAAGUGAUUCCAACUAUUCCACCUGCAUACACGAGGAGAAUGAAAUCAUUACAGGAUUGCGUUAUCAUUCGAGAGAAAUAAAACAGGAAAACAUUACAAGAAAUUAAUUAAAAAAAAAAAAAAAACACAUUAUUGAAAAAGACAAAAAGGAUAAAUAUGCUCCAUUCGACCUCGUUCAAGGCCGCAGCGCAGAUAGCAACGUUCCAAAAUAACAAGCGCUUACACAAAAAGAUCACUUUUUAAAGCAAAAAUACUCUUCAACGUAGUUUAAAAUAAUACAUAUGUGGAAAAUUUAAAAGAAAGUAUAUGUCGAUGUUUCGUAAUUUGUUCGUGAGCUGUGUCGGGACUGAGAAGAUCCGUGUUCCUCGGCGGAUCAUACACACAUGUCCACGUGCAGAGGUAGGUGGAACAGAGCAGGGGAAGCGCUGUAAUUUUUAUGGAUCGACAAGCAGACAAUUUGACGACAUCUCGAGCAUCUCGGGGAGUAAGCUGAGCGGUCGGUCAUCCCAGAAUCGCGCUCAUCGAAUAAUACAGAACGACACCCACAAAAGGAC